rnacentral:pre_miRNA from 1 species
AAAAACUCAAUUCUUGAGUUUUCGUGUCCAAUGUUUGACCAUUUGUCUUAUAUGAAUUUUUUCUAUAAUUAGUAUUUUUAUUGUUGUUAGAUGAUAAAACAUGAAUAAUAUUUUUUAUGUGACUUUUAUUUUUAAUAUUUUUUAAAAAUAAGACAGACGUUUAAACGUUAGACACGAUAGA